rnacentral:rRNA from 1 species
UGGGGAAUAUUGCACAAUGGGCGCAAGCCUGAUGCAGCCAUGCCGCGUGUAUGAAGAAGGCCUUCGGGUUGUAAAGUACUUUCAGCGGGGAGGAAGGUGUUGAGGCUAAUAACCUCAGCAAUUGACGUUACCCGCAGAAGAAGCACCGGCUAACUCCGUGCCAGCAGCCGCGGUAAUACGGAGGGUGCAAGCGUUAAUCGGAAUUACUGGGCGUAAAGCGCACGCAGGCGGUCUGUCAAGUCGGAUGUGAAAUCCCCGGGCUCAACCUGGGAACUGCAUUCGAAACUGGCAGGCCAGAGUCUUGUAGAGGGGGGUAGAAUUCCAGGUGUAGCGGUGAAAUGCGUAGAGAUCUGGAGGAAUACCGGUGGCGAAGGCGGCCCCCUGGACAAAGACUGACGCUCAGGUGCGAAAGCGUGGGGAGCAAACA